GACGAACCGUACGAACGUUAUUCGGAAUCACUGGGCUUAAAGGGUGCGUAGGCGGCCGGGUAAGUCUGAUGUGAAAUCUCACAGCUUAACUGUGAAACUGCAUUGGAUACUAUCCGGCUCGAGGAAUGGAGGGGAGACUGGAAUACUUGGUGUAGCAGUGAAAUGCGUAGAUAUCAAGUGGAACACCAGUGGCGAAGGCGAGUCUCUGGACAUUUCCUGACGCUGAGGCACGAAAGCCAGGGGAGCAAACGGG
rnacentral:rRNA from 1 species